rnacentral:rRNA from 1 species
AGCGAAUGCUGGCGGCAGGCCUAACACAUGCAAGUCGAACGAACUCUUCGGAGUUAGUGGCGGACGGGUGAGUAACACGUGGGAACGUGCCUUUUGGUUCGGAAUAACUCAGGGAAACUUGUGCUAAUACCGAAUGUGCCCUUCGGGGGAAAGAUUUAUCGCCAUUAGAGCGGCCCGCGUCUGAUUAGCUAGUUGGUGAGGUAACGGCUCACCAAGGCGACGAUCAGUAGCUGGUCUGAGAGGAUGACCAGCCACACUGGGACUGAGACACGGCCCAGACUCCUACGGGAGGCAGCAGUGGGGAAUCUUGCGCAAUGGGCGAAAGCCUGACGCAGCCAUGCCGCGUGAAUGAUGAAGGUCUUAGGAUUGUAAAAUUCUUUCACCGGGGACGAUAAUGACGGUACCCGGAGAAGAAGCCCCGGCUAACUUCGUG